rnacentral:rRNA from 1 species
AAAUUGAAGAGUUUGAUCAUGGCUCAGAUUGAACGCUGGCGGCAGGCCUAACACAUGCAAGUCGAACGGUAACAGGAAGCAGCUUGCUGCUUCGCUGACGAGUGGCGGACGGGUGAGUAAUGUCUGGGAAACUGCCUGAUGGAGGGGGAUAACUACUGGAAACGGUGGCUAAUACCGCAUAACGUCGCAAGACCAAAGAGGGGGACCUUCGGGCCUCUUGCCAUCAGAUGUGCCCAGAUGGGAUUAGCUGGUUGGUGAGGUAACGGCUCACCAAGGCGACGAUCCCUAGCUGGUCUGAGAGGAUGACCAGCCACACUGGAACUGAGACACGGUCCAGACUCCUACGGGAGGCAGCAGUGGGGAAUAUUGCACAAUGGGCGCAAGCCUGAUGCAGCCAUGCCGCGUGUAUGAAGAAGGCCUUCGGGUUGUAAAGUACUUUCAGCGGGGAGGAAGGUGUUGUGGUUAA